rnacentral:rRNA from 1 species
UACGAAGGGUGCAAGCGUUAAUCGGAAUUACUGGGCGUAAAGCGUGCGCAGGCGGUUCGUUGUGUCGGCGGGGAAAUCCCCGGGCUCAACCUGGGAAUGGCCGUUGAAACUGGCGAACUGGAGUGUGGCAGAGGGGGGUGGAAUUCCGCGUGUAGCAGUGAAAUGCGUAGAGAUGUGGAGGAACACCGAUGGCGAAGGCAGCCCCCUGGGUCAACACUGACGCUCAUGCACGAAAGCGUGGGGAGCAAACAGG